CAGUCGCCGCGGGAAUACAGAGGGUGCGAGCGUUAAUCGGAAUUACUGGGCGUAAAGCGUGCGUAGGUGGUGGUUUAAGUCCGUUGUGAAAGCCCUGGGCUCAACCUGGGAAUUGCAGUGGAUACUGGGUCACUAGAGUGUGGUAGAGGAUAGUGGAAUUUCCGGUGUAGCAGUGAAAUGCGUAGAGAUCGGAAGGAACAUCUGUGGCGAAGGCGACUAUCUGGGCCAACACCGACACUGAGGCACGAAAGCGUGGGGAGCAAACAGGAUUAGAUACCCCAGUAGUCCCUGUCUCUUAUAC
rnacentral:rRNA from 1 species